UGCGGAUUGCGGACAUUACCAAUGCAACGGAAGUGCUAAAGCGCAAAUUUUAGAACAAACAAUUUGAGAAACCGUCCGCUGACGCUUUUUGUAUGCAACUGACAGUUUAUGACUGAAAAGUUGCGCAUGCUCAAGUUUACCAAAAUUACCGCAAUCCGUAGUGAUUACGUAUAUACAAUAAUGCAGAGUAAACAGGCUCGUUCUUGUGGCCGUUUAUUCGGCCGCUGAGGCUACAUGUAUAAGUAUAUAUAGAGACAUAAAAUAUACAACUGUAAAUAUAGGGUGUUAGAUAUCAUCCAACCUACGUUUUUUUUUAGCAUGUUGCAUCAUCUUGCAUGCUCCGUAUAUGGUGCUAGCUAUUUUAUGUUGUGACGUUACACGUUACUCAUACUGAUGUUCUAAUAUUAUUUGCAAGCUAGCUAUAAAGGCUGCUGCAUCUGUGUAUAAGAGACCAGUCUAGGCUCAUUAAACUUCAAAUCUCCACAUUAGAGUUCGUAAAUCGUCAAGAUUUCAGCAGCGAAACGGAAAUUUUCAGCCUUUUUAAGAAACUGUCCACAUAGAAGUAGUAACAGUAAAGUAUUUGGUAGCGGUACGGGGACUACCAAGAGACAGUUACCUUUUUGUUUGGGGAAAGAGCGGACUUAUUUUUCCUGAUGUGUAGGUGGAUAAUCCGGGAACGUUACGGAAUCAUAAUCGAAUUUGAGCGCCACAACGCCACCGCUGGAGCCCCAGCACCGGACGCUGAUCCAAAAGUUGUGCCCGAAUUUGCAACCGGAGGGAGUACAAGUUACAGCCGGUUCGAAAACCACAACAUGGAGUAACUGGCCGUGGACGGCAGCGUCGCAGCGAAGAACGUAAUAUUUUACCCAUUAUUCCUGGAACGAAAAUAGUACAGUAUUGAACUACCUUUAAUUUUCUUGGACUAUCUUCAAAGAGUUUACACAAGUUCAGCUAAAAUUCGUUUCCUUAUAAUUAUGUUUUCUUAAAUUUCCUUUUGUCUCUUAUGUUUUCUUGUGCUUUUAUGUUUCUCGUGUGUCUUAUGUUUCUUAUGUUUUCUUGCGUUUUCUUAUGAUGUUUUCUUUUGUAAGAAAAUUUAUUCUAUAGGAAAAUUGAUUUGAAACUUACGCGGUUUUCGUG